UUAUGUGCGGGAUUCUUCAAAUUCUGGUUCCAGUGCGUGGUGAUAUUUAAUUUAUUUAUUUAUUCAUUAUUUUUCGAGUGAUCCGAGUGUUUAUUUGUGCCUGCUUCAGUUUGAUUAAGCUCCAGCUCUUCUGAGAAUCUUAUUAGACGGUGCAACUCGAGGAUCAGAAGAGAAAAGAGACCAGAUUUCCCCUGGAGUCUUCAUAAUAAGCCAUAAACAAGUCUGAUUUUUGGACAUUCACCAUUGAACAGUCAAAUGCAUAAGAUCAAAUCUUGCUACUCCGUCUCAGAUUGUAAGUUGACCAAAAUUUGAAGCACAUACAGUAUGCCAUAAGAUUUAAACAUUUUUAUAGCCAUUAAUCUUGUUUACGAUUUUUAAACUUUAACAGCCUAUUUUUACCGAUCGGAUCUACUGAUUGGAUCAAAGAC
rnacentral:lncRNA from 1 species